AUACGGAGGAUCCGAGCGUUAUCCAGAUUUAUUGGGUUUAAAGGGUGCGCAGGCGGGAGAUUAAGUCGGCGGUGAAAUUUUGCAGCUCAACUGUAAAAGUGCCUUCGAAACUGGUUUCCUUGAGUGUAGAUGAAGUAGGCGGAAUUUGUGGUGUAGCGGUGAAAUGCAUAGAUAUCACGAGGAACUCCGAUUGCGCAGGCAGCUUACUAAACUACUACUGACGCUCAGGCACGAAGGCGUGGGGAUCAAACAGGAUUAGAUACCCUGGUAGUCCACGCAGUAAACGAUGAUUACUAGCUGUUUGCGAUACAAUGUAAGCGGCUGAGCGAAAGCGUUAAGUAAUCCACCUGGGGAGUACGUUCGCAAGAAUGAAACUCAAAUGAAUUGACGGGG
rnacentral:rRNA from 1 species